rnacentral:miRNA from 1 species
CCAAUCUAAACAGGCCCU